CUCAGAAACCAUGCUUAUAGUUAUCAUCAAUUGGAUGAUCAGGUCUCAAAGAUUUCAUGCCAUCAUCGGAACCCCAUAUGCAGUGAAUCUUUUUUUUACAAUCAAACUGAAAAUAUCAAUUGCAAAAACAACAAAUAAAUUCAAAAUCGUGCAAAAAUAAAAUUGAAGUGGGCAAAAUCAAUAGAAAUAGAGGAGGAUGUGGCAGGGUGUUA
rnacentral:lncRNA from 1 species